rnacentral:rRNA from 1 species
CACGGGGGGAGCAAGCGUUGUUCGGAAUCACUGGGCGUAAAGGGCGUGUAGGCGGUCAAGUAAGUGGAAUGUGAAAGCCCCCGGCUCACCCGGGGAUCUGCAUCCCAAACUGCUUGGCUUGAGUACGGGAGAGGAUAGGGGAAUUCCUGGUGUAGCGGUGAAAUGCGUAGAUAUCAGGAGGAACACCGGUGGCGAAGGCGCCUAUCUGGCCCGAUACUGACGCUGAGGCGCGAAAGCUAGGGGAGCGAAUGGG